GGCAAAGUCUUGGACAGGAUUCCUCUGCAGCUGGGGAAGAAUGGAUGGAGAGAGAGAGAGAGAGAGAGAGGAUGAAUGCACCAUUGUAUGCUCACUUCAUAUCUGCACCGACUGCCUCCGCCAAGAGUCCAGUUACCCCAAUUGUGUUGGAGAAACAUCUAAAGGAAGCUGAUAUGGGGUUUCAGAGGGUUUAAUGGGGGUUUGGGGUGGAGGAGGGCGAGAGAGAGAGAGAGAGAGAGAAUUGGUUACCUGGUUUCCAGUCAGGAAUGAGUCUGUCUGCCUCAGGCCUGGAUCCCCAGACUUCUCUCUCUCCAUCAGACGCGCUGCAGAGCUUCAGCCAUGGCUCUGGAUCCAUGACACUGUGUUUGUGCUGUCGUUUAGUGAAUGAUCACCCUACUAAUGGACUGACAUGGGUUGGUUAAUUAGUGGAAGCAGGUUACUGAAAAACCUUCUACAAGUGAUUCACCUGAACAAGAGGAAGACUGAGUCAAAGAUAUCGAGCUGUGGAGGAGUGAGAGUUCUGAGAGAGAGA
ensembl:lncRNA